UCCCUGGAGGACUAGUGGUUAGGCUUUGUUGCUCUCACUGUUGUGGCCUGGGUUCGAUUCCCGGCCAGGGAA
rnacentral:tRNA from 1 species